rnacentral:rRNA from 1 species
GACGAACGCUGGCGGCGUGCUUAACACAUGCAAGUCGAACGGAAAGGCCUCUUUCGGGGGGUACUCGAGUGGCGAACGGGUGAGUAACACGUGAGUAACCUGCCCUUGACUUUGGGAUAACUUCAGGAAACUGGGGCUAAUACCGGAUAGGAGCUCCUGCUGCAUGGUGGGGGUUGGAAAGUUUCGGCGGUUGGGGAUGGACUCGCGGCUUAUCAGCUUGUUGGUGGGGUAGUGGCUUACCAAGGCUUUGACGGGUAGCCGGCCUGAGAGGGUGACCGGCCACAUUGGGGCUGAGAUACGGCCCAGGCUCCUACGGGGGGCAACGGUGGGGAAUAUUGCACAAUGGGUGGAAGCCUGAUGCAGCAACGCCGUGUGCGGGAUGACGGCCUUCGGGUUGGAAACCGCUUUCGCUCAUGACGAAGCUUUGUGUGACGGUAGUGGGUAAAGAAGCACCGGCUAACUACGUG